GACAGAGGGUGCAAACGUUGUUCGGAAUUACUGGGCGUAAAGCGUGUGUAGGCUGCUACAUAAGUCGGAUGUGAAAGCCCCGGGCUCAACCCGGGAAGUGCACUCGAUACUGCGUAGCUUGAGUCUCGGAGAGGUUGGUGGAAUUCUCGGUGUAGAGGUGAAAUUCGUAGAUAUCGAGAGGAACACCGGUGGCGAAGGCGGCCUGCUGGGCAGUGGCUGACGCUGAGGCGCGACAGCGUGGGGAGCAAACAGG
rnacentral:rRNA from 1 species